rnacentral:ribozyme from 1 species
UGCCCAGCAACUCCUAUCCCUACCUCCACGCGGUGCCAGCCGGAAACUAUGAGCAAUCUUAGGGAAGAUCGGGUAACCAACCCCAAUAGGAACUUUGAUCGUAGGCUGACAGGGAAGG